ensembl:snRNA U1 U1 spliceosomal RNA
AUACUUACCUGGCAGGGGAGAUACCAUGAUCACGAAGGUGGUUUUCCCAGGGCGAGGCUUAUCCAUUGCACUCCGGAUGUGCUGACCCCUGCGAUUUCCCCAAAUGUGGGAAACUCGACUGCAUAAUUUGUAGUAGUGGGGGACUGCGUUCGUGCUUUCCCCUG